UACGUAGGGUGCAAGCGUUGUCCGGAAUUAUUGGGCGUAAAGAGCUCGUAGGCGGUCUGUCGCGUCUGCUGUGAAAACCUGGGGCUUAACCCCGGGCCUGCAGUGGGUACGGGCAGACUAGAGUGCGGUAGGGGAGACUGGAAUUCCUGGCGUAGCGGUGAAAUGCGCAGAUAUCAGGAGGAACACCGGUGGCGAAGGCGGGUCUCUGGGCCGUAACUGACGCUGAGGAGCGAAAGCAUGGGGAGCGAACAGG
rnacentral:rRNA from 1 species